rnacentral:lncRNA from 1 species
UAACAGAUGCCCUGCAGAAGGAUGCACUGGUAAGGCAGGUGGGUGUGAACCCGUCGAGCCAAAAUCCCAACUUAUUUAAAGAUCUGUUAGGCUGAAGUUUGAAAUCUGAUGUUGCGCCGUGUGUAUAUCCAUCUGAACAUGAGAUCACCUGCUACAUGACCUUUUCUACACAAACUUUUUUAGGGAAGGCAGUGUAUAUGCUAUGAAGCACCAGUACCAGGCAAGUGUAUUUCUGACUGUCCGUCUGACUACCGAGCUCAUUGCAUCGGCUUGACGAGCAGAGUUUGUGUUGGUUGGAGGUCUCAUCAGGUAGACAGUUUUCGUGUAUUGUGUUGGAGGGUGAGUAGAGUUGUUUUGGUUUGUUGGUUGAGAAACAGGGAAUCGAUAGUUGUAGAUUAGUGUACAUGAGGCGGAUGCAUUGAUUUCCCCACUCUUUGCAUGAGAUUUUGUGGCCUAGCAGAAACAUCUCGUUUUGGUUAUUGUCUUCUCAUUCGUGGCGAGUCUCUUGUGUGUUAUACUACCAUCAUGUAUACUUGCUUCUUUCUUGUCCCCUUUACAAAUGACUUUUUUGGUGUCUCGAAAUCUUAAUACAGUACUGCUAUUACUAGCUAAUUUUUCAUUACUUCAAUAUCAUUAUUCAUGCUACUGUUUACAGUAUCAAUAAGCAAGGAAGUGCAACCCUGACCCUUAGGGGAAACAUGAAAUUGAGACCGUUGUUUCAUGAGUGAUCCAAUUCCUAUCUCUCACAAAUCCAUAACUAGACAUACUCUCCAAAUUUUGCAACAUCCUCAAGUACCACCAACUGUGAAUCGCCUUCGAACAUUACCUGUGGGCAUCCCAAAUUGAUAACCCAACGGAUGGUUUCCAACAACGCCAUCAAUUAAGGCUCCUUCCCCGCAACAAUGUCAUCACCGUUUGUAUUUGGAACUCGACCACCAUUCCUGCCUCGUCCGACAAGAUCAUCCAUACUCUUGUAAGUUGCAACAGUCCAUCCUAUUUUUCUCUCGCCAUAAGCUUCAACAGGGCAAUCAUUUGUCGAAUGUUCGGGGACCGACUCUAUUGCGUUUGGGACGUUGUGUCGAAUCGGCCCACUGGGCCUGGGCACAACAGGUACCAUUAAUAUUAAAACUAAUAUCGAUUUACAGAAAUAUCCUUUUAGUUUCAACCAUUCGAUCAUAGUACUAGAUCCAAUGGUUGAACUUCUCCCUCUGUUUUCUCUUCUUCUCAUCCACCCACUGUAAAAACAUCUCCCAAGCUACUUCCGACUCUUGAAAUCUGAGUGACCAAGACACAGUGAUCCGCCGUUCUGGAGCGCAUUGAGCUAAUCUGAAGUCUCGAAAGAGAAAGCUUUGUACAAUUCCUUUGAAAGAAUCGAGUUUCAUCAGCUAAGUUCUAAAGUAUAUAUCUGUCAGCCUCUCUCCAUUGAUCUUCUCUCGAAUCGCGGGAAGCAUUUACAAUUUGAGCAAAGAUGGAGCAACUCUUCAAAUCCGUUGGGAGGGAGCUCGCCAUGGGCUCCCAAGGAGGAAUCGGCCAAUCGAAGGAGUUCCUUGAGCUGGUCAAGUCAAUCGGCGAAGCCCGAUCGAAGGCUGAGGAGGACCGUAUAAUCCUACGCGAAAUCGAAAUACUAAAGCGACGCCUCGUCGAGCCUGGAAUCCCCAAGCGCAAGAUGAAGGAGUACAUUAUGCGGUUGGUGUACGUGGAGAUGCUGGGCCACGAUGCUUCAUUUGGGUACAUUCAUGCCGUCAAAAUGACACACGACGACCAUUUGUUCCUCAAGCGGACGGGUUACUUGGCGGUCACUCUCUUCCUCAAUGAAGAUCACGAUUUGAUCAUCUUGAUUGUCAACACCAUUCAGAAGGACUUGAAAUCUGACAACUUUCUGAUCGUGUGCGCUGCAUUGAAUGCGGUCUGUAAAUUGAUCAACGAGGAGACGAUACCUGCUGUUUUGCCUCAAGUAGUGGAAUUAUUGGGCCAUCAGAAGGAAGCUGUUAGAAAGAAGGCUAUCAUGGCUCUCCAUCGCUUCUACCAGAAGUCUCCUUCCUCUGUUUCUCAUCUCAUUUCCAACUUCCGAAAGGUCAGAGUGUUAAGCACAUGAAUGCAUCAAAAUCUGCUCCACAUCUCGUUAUAUUCUAUUGAAGAAAUGCAUUUCUCAUUUUUGUGUCUGGCGAAUUUGUGUUCGUUCUGAUAGUGAUAACUUGUCUUUCUAGUGGCUGAUGUAGUUUACUGUCUAUGGUUUUAGUAACUCUAUUGGUGAUUCGAUGAGUGGAGCAGAAAUUAUCGAUGGCCGUUCCAGUUACAAAUAUAUUUUAAAUCAGCCCGUUAUUAAUUUCUAUAGUUUGUAUUACUCUCAUAACAUUUACAUUUCUGUAUACGUCGUGAGUUAUUGGCACCAACCUUCUGAAUAUGACAUUGGGUGUAUUUUACUGCAGAGGCUAUGUGAUAAUGAUCCUGGUGUCAUGGGUGCAACGCUUUGUCCUCUUUUUGAUCUUAUCAGUAGAGAUGUUAGCUCAUUUAAGGAUUUGGUGGUCAGCUUUGUAAGCAUACUUAAACAAGUAGCUGAGCAUAGAUUGCCGAAGACUUAUGAUUACCAUCAGAUGCCAGCUCCAUUUGUACAGGUAUCUUCAGUAUGUUGUGUUUUCUUGAUGAGGAUGGAAUGGUGGCUGUAAAAUGUUGUAUGUUAGUAUUUGCUCUAUUACAUGUCUCUUCUUUGAAGAUCUCUUGGGUUUUUUUGCUUCGUUUAUUUUUUCCGAUAUCUGGGUAGAUGCUAAAUUAUAAGCCAAUGGGUGGGUAACUGCCUUGGGAUAAUUUUGGAAGAACUGUGUGUAUCAUUUUUUGGAUUAACUUAAUAGCUUUCAGUCGCGACCCAAAGAAAGUGAGCUAACUUAACACUUAGCUUAGGAAAGGGAUAGCCUUCAGGAGUACCCCCUAACCCUGAGGACUUUAUAGAUGCUAUAAGAAAACUUUGUAAAAAAUUAUCUUGAGAAAUUUAUGAAGAUCAAAUUAAGCCUCAACAGGGAAAUCGGUGUCCUCUAGCAUGGGUAGAUCAACUGUUUGGGGCUGACUUUAACAGUUGUUUUGUGCAUCCUUGACCGGAUAUGCUGAAUAUGAAUAAAGAGUACAAAUGACAUCUCAUUUUGGGAAACAUUGUUACCGGUUCACCUUUUUAAUGGUAGGUGCAGUAGAUAUUGAAUUAGGGUCCUAGUACGACUGAACUGGUGAAUAUUGAGCUUUUGAUGUUGAAGUUACAACCUUUCACCUGCUGAUGAUUGUUUCUAUGAAUAGUUGUUAUGUAUUAAUAUUCUGCGAGCAACUGAUUCAUUGAAUUGAGAAUCAUCUCAUGAGUUUCAACUCUGUUUGAUGAUACGCAUAACAAAGGGGCACUGAAUCAGUUAUGUUUUUGCUACAUUGUGAAAUUAAUUUUACUCAUGAUUAAGCUUAGUUGGAUUACUUCCGAGUUUUUCAAUGCUAUGCUUUAUAUUUAUUGUACUAUUUACCUGCGCAAAAACAAAUUUUUUUAAGUCCCAAUGGUUGAUAGUGGUGUUAACCAAGUUAAGGUUGUUGCUUUUGUAACAUGCAAUCAUAUACUUCUUUUGAGCUUGCUUCCUUGUUACGUAUAAUUAAUAUCCGGUCAAUUUUCCUUGAAAUUUCACAGAUUCGGUUGCUAAAAAUUCUAUCACUGCUUGGAAGUGGUGAUAAACAUGCAAGCGAGCAGAUGUACACUGUUGUUGGUGACAUAUUGAGGAAGUGUGAUUCAUCAAGCAAUAUAGGAAAUGCUGUACUCUAUGAAUGUGUAUGCUGUGUGACAUCUAUGCAUCCUAGUCCUAUGUUGUUGGAAUCUGCGGCAGAUGUAAUAGCAAGAUUUUUAAAGGUGAAUCUCUUGCGUUGAUUCUGGUACAGUGUUGGUUUUGCUUAGCCAUUUUGAGAAAUGUGUUUUAUCCCCAUUGAAUUGUUACUGCUGAUUUUGUUGGCAGAGUGACAGCCAUAAUCUGAAGUAUUUGGGGAUAGACGCACUCGGUCGACUGAUAAAAUUGAGUCCAGAGAUAGCAGAACAACACCAGCUGGCUGUGAUAGAUUGCUUAGAGGUGAGACUCUGUCAUGUGUAUGUGUAUUAAUGCAAUGACCUCGGGUGCACUUCAAUUGUUGAAGUUACGAGAGUAAAAGAAGAGAGAAGAUUAGUUGCUCUACUCUGCAAUUGUGUUAUUCUGAAACAUCGUGAAGUUGAUAAUGAUACUAUAGGAGUUAGUUGUUACAACAGUAACAUGGUACCUAGGGUUGUUUUGUUGGUAAUGCAACAUACUAUAUCGAGAUGUGUAGGUCUUUACAGUCUUGCUUAUUACGAGGUGGUAAAAUUUCAACGUGCGUGCGGAGAGUUUGUAAACUCAGUUUUCUCCUUAAAGUUGGUGAGGAUCUACUGACUACUAUGCCGUAAAAUGGAGACAACAUGAUUAGUAUAUGUGACUUUUGGGAGAUAUAAGCACUAAUGGACGCAUGUUUUCAUUCUUUUGACGACUAUUCAUGAGUUUCUUGCAGACUGUGGUUGGUUAUGAUGCAUUACUUGAUAUUGUUACAUGCACAGGACCCAGAUGAUACCCUAAAGCGAAAAACCUUUGAGCUGCUGCACAAAAUGACAAAGUCAUCCAAUGUGGAAGUGAUUGUUAACCGCAUGAUUGAUUACAUGAUCAGCAUAAAUGACAAUCAUUACAAAACCGAUAUAGUAUCUCGUUGUGUUGAACUUGCUGAGCAAUUUGCACCAAGCAACCAAUGGUUUAUUCAGGUAAUGUUAGAUGCUGAAUAUCUUAUCAAUGGCCAGUUGUUGCUUGGAUCUUACAUUUCAUCUUUAGUAUCAUUAUUAAUGGCACUCAACUGGACAGACCAUGAACAGAGUCUUUGAACAUGCUGGAGAUCUUGUAAACAUUAAGGUAGCCCACAACUUGAUGCGCUUAAUUGCUGAAGGAUUUGGCGAAGAUGAUGACACUGCAGAUACGCACCUUAGAUCAUCUGCUGUAAGUAAUUCUUACAUAUGUAGAAUAUAGAUGUAGUUGAAAAUUUGUUGAUAUCUUCCAAGAAUUUUGGAUCAUAAAAUUAUGAUGCCUUUUAUACUUGAUUAGAUAUUGCAAUCUUCCGUGGACGACUCAAAAAGAAUAUCUUUUUUCCUAUUGUUGUGACCUCAUGGUUAUUAGCAUUUCUAUAGCCUUGGCUUUGGUAGUUAUGCGGGGUUAAGUUCAUAGCUAAAAAGCCAACGUGGGAUCAGUUUUUCUGAUCUUCUUAUUGAAAAUGAACCAGACAGUUUCCAUUAACCGGCUGGCUAAAUUGGUGAAUUCCAGAAUAGCUGAUUCACUGUAUGAGGGAUCCAAUUAAACAUCCCGUGGGUUGUCUUAUUUAUUUUGUUUCAACUUGGGAAACAUUUUGAGGCGUGUUAAGGUCUUUCUCUUUUUGUAUUGACAAGCUAUGUUGUGUUUUGUUCAUUAUUCAACUAGCAUGUUAUCUUAUCUAAUACACUAGUGUCAUCUCCUCUCUUGAACAUUGUGCUGUAACAUCCACUGCAUCAUGCUAUGGACAUUUGCUGAUGCUUUUGUAGAUGCCAUUUCUACAGCUUUUGAAAAUGAUUAGGCUGGUAUUGUAUGCAAAUCGGUGAAGUUCUACGAUAUGACAUGACCAAAUAGGUUAUGAAAAGUGGAAUGGCCAUUGUUCUCUUUCUAAUCUUUUUGUAUGAAACGUUAGUUUGAGCCUUUAUCUUCCUUGCCAUCUUAUUAGUGAUUCUGGAAUUUCCAUUUAUGGUAAUUUACUACUGUAACAGUGUAACUCUUGUCUGCAGGUGGAGUCAUAUUUACGAAUUAUAGGAGCACCAAAGCUGCCAUCCAUUUUUCUCCAAGUAUAUUUUUGUUACUAAGGCUUACUUCUCCUUUAGGGUUCAGUUAGCACAUCAUUAAACUGCUGAAAUGCUGAUUGCAGGUUAUUUGCUGGGUGUUGGGUGAAUUCGGGACGGCUGAUGGAAAGUAUUCUGUAUCAUAUAUUACUGGGAAGUUGUGUGAUGUAGCUGAGGCAUACUCUAAUGAUGAACCUGUCAAGGUAUCAAUUACUUUAUUAACAGCUUCCUCCCCUAGAUUGGAUGUCAGAGUAACAUUGUUGGGGAAUAUGGAUUGAUCUUCCAAUGACUUUCUGAUUCUUUCUAUAUGGUGUUGCUCAUCUCAUCUGUUUCGCUAAUCUUUGAAGAGGUUCUGUUUUAUUUUAUCUGUGAUUUGAGACUUAUUGCUCAACCUUAUACCUAUCUGUUUCUCUACGUCGCUUAGUUGUGCACUUCCAACCACAAUUCUAUAUGAAGAAGCCUCACCGAAUUUUUUCUGUGGAAAACUGUCCAUUCACGGUUACUGAAUAGGUUUCUCUCAUUUCUUUCUAAUUCUCGUCAAUUUAUUUAGACACAGCCAAGAAAAUUGCUGUGGUGCUGUUAACUUUCUAUAUGCUAAUCUUCAUGCUCCGGAAAUAUAUUUCCAAUCCCUGUAAAAGUUGUUGAAUCAACAUUCUUAUUGUUGGUAGUUCUUCACCUGGUCUGUUUUCGGGUUCUUGUCACUUUAUACUUAUUUGUGUAUCGUUAAUCAAUUAGGUAGUGAGUUUGUUAAUAUAAAUUUAUUAAACAGUAUAGGAUCAGUUAUUUUUGUCUGUUUCUUAGGUUAUCAUAAAAACUCAGUAGUCCCUGAGUAUAACAUGUUUUGUCAUUCUAAAGGGUUAUACAGUGACAGCACUCAUGAAGAUAUAUGCCUUUGAGAUGGCUGCUGGUAGAAAAGUGGACGUGCUACCAGAGGUAGGAAGUCCAUGCUUUUGUCUGUGAAUGAAUUCAGUCUGUUAAAUAUGAAUUUUCGUUUCUUGUAAUAUUUCAGAAUAGUUACUGAUACUCCAGUCAGUUUUUUGUCAAUCCGGAAGUAUUUCAGUGAGACCAUGUAAUUAAUUUGUCAAUCUGUAUGGUGCAUUUUGAACGGCUCUUCUUCAUCAAAUUAUCAUAUAGAUUUCUGAUCAGACUCCGAUAUUAGGAUCUGCUUUUCCUUUUGUUCGAGAUCCUAACGUCUUACUGGUUUGACAUUUGCUGGAUUUAUGCUAGUGAGUCAUCUAGAAGUAUACAAAGUAACUUGUAGUGGACUUAUAGUACACUGAAGCAACUAUAGUAGACGAAGGUUGAAAAUUGCAUAUUAGCACUCGAUUGGGUUUGUUUAGCAUAAGCUAAUUUGUUAUCAUGUACCGUUUGAUUUGGAUGAUCGAGAACAUAUGCAUGCAUGAGUACAGCUACGCUGCCAUUGGUUUUCUAGUGUUGAAAUUUUAAAUCUGUUUUUUCGUAUGUAUCAUGAUUAGAUAAAUUUGAUUCUGCCAGUUGUAACUCCUAGGUUUUUAUAUGCAGUGUGAAACCCUGAUUGAAGAAUUGUCAGCUUCCCACUCAAGUGACUUGCAGCAGCGUGCAUAUGAACUCCAAGCAGUCGUUGCCCUAGAUGCCCAUGCUAUUGAAAACAUCAUGCCAUCAGACGCAAGCUGCAGAGAGAUUGAGGUUCGCUGCUUCAGAAUCUGUUUCAUAGUUUAUCUGCCAAUAUGAGUUGAAAUGCUCGUAUUUAUUGUUUGUGCAUUGCACUUUCCUCUAGGAUCCUUGCAUGAUUACCUAUUAGCUUCUUUGGGCUCUUAGGCAUCAGUGUUUCCUCAGCUUCAACCUUGGUUAUUUUCCAUCACAUUGUAAGCGAUGGACAUCAUUGAUAUCUGAUGAACUUCUAUCCAGUUUCUGGAAGAGUAUAAUUGAUUUUACAUACUACUAUGGGAUUAAAUGAUAACAGGAGCUCCAAUUCUAUGCACCUAUUUCUUCAUGUUUGCUUGACUACUUUGAUACUAAUACAUACAAAUGACUUCAUGUGUAAAUCUGUGCUCUGCUAACAUUUUGUGUGUGUGUGUAUUAAUACCUUUCUUUAUGUUUGCAGAUUGAUAAAAGCCUCCCUUUCCUUGAUGAUUUCGUUGAGCGGGCAAUAGAAAAGGGAUCUCAACCAUACAUUCCAGAAAGUGAACGUUCUGGGUUUGCAGGUGUCAGUUACUUAAAGAACCAAGACCUACAAGAAGUUCCUUCUCAUGGUCUUAGGUUUGAGGCCUAUGAGCUUCCAAAGCCCUCUGUGCCCCUUACAAGUCCUCCUGUAUCUAUUGGAACAUCCAACGAACUCAUUCCAGUUUCCGAGCCAUCAUUUAACUUGGUGAAUCAGACAACUGUGUCUCUGUCGUCAUCUGAUGCAGGACCUGCAGGCAUCAAGUUACAGCUUGAUGGGGUUCAAAAGAAGUGGGGUAGGCCAACUUAUUCAUCUUCAGUGUCCACAACAACAAGUGCUGCCCCGCAGGAUACCGUCAAUGGGGUAACACUGCCAGAUGCUGCAGCAGCCGCGUCUGCUGCUGCUAUUCCUAAACGACAAGAAAUAACUUAUGAACUGAGGAAGCCCCAAGUAGAAAUUUCCUCAGAAAAGCAAAAGCUUGCAGCAUCGCUGUUUGGAGGAUCAUCAAAACAGGAAAGAAAGUCAUCUCUAUCUGGCCAAAAGACUGUAAAGUCAAGUGGCCAUGCAGCAAAGGGAUCAGAUUUGUCGGAGACUUCAGCUAAGAAGAAGGCUCCUGUUCAGCCACCGCCAGAUUUGCUCGACUUAGGCCAAACAAGUAAUGUAAUCACAGCCCCAUCAGUUGACCCUUUCAAACAAUUGGAGGGGCUACUUGAUGUUGUCGAAUCGGCAAAUCACAGUAAUGUCAGUGGCACAAAAACACCAGAUUUUAUGGGCUUAUAUGGAGACUCUGAUACUACUGGUCCGGAUGGUGGCCACCAUUUCUCAAGUAUCAAUGAUGUGGAUAAUCUUAUGUCUGGUUUGUCAUCUGCAACUUCUCAGACUGCCCAAAUUAGUAAAGGUCCGAGCAUAAAAGAUGCCUUACAGAAGGAUGCAUUGGUAAGGCAGAUGGGUGUGACCCCGUCGAGCCAAAAUCCCAACUUAUUUAAAGAUCUGUUAGGCUGAAGCUUGAAAUCUGGUAUAGUGUCUAUAUCCAUCUGAACAUGAGAUCACCUGCUACAUCACCUUUUCUGCACAGGGAAGGCAUUGUAUAUGCUUUGAACCACUACCAACCACUGAGCAGAACUGGAGAACUUGUAAACGAGGUAAUUGAGUUUGUGUUGGUUGGAGAUCAGGUACACAGUUUUCGUGUAUUGUGUUGGAGGGUGCGUAGAGUUCUUUGGGGUUUGUUGGUUGGGAAACGUGGAAUCCAUAGUUGUAGAUUGUAGUGUACAUGAGGGUGAUGCAUAUUCAUUCCCCAGCUUUUUGCAUGAGAAUUUGUGGCCUAGCGGAAGAUGUCGUUUUGGUACUUGUCUGCUUGUUCCUGGAUCUUAUACUACAAUGUAUACUUGCCUCUCUCUCUUUUGCUUCUGGUACAACUGACUUUUCUGGUGCAUCCGAAAUCCUAUUACAACAAUGCUAUAUCACUAGCUAGUUAUAAUCUUCUUAACCAAACUGCCUCAC